UUACCAUCAAAUGAUAGAGUUUUUGUGAACCUUGUCAGGUCCGGAAGGAAGCAGCAAUAAGCAUUAUACUCUAUGUGUUUGAUGGCUUUUU
rnacentral:SRP_RNA from 2 species